rfam:Domibacillus antri strain XD80 WGS_contig_11, whole genome shotgun sequence.
UAGAUGACAAAUAAAGCACCUCAUAUAAUAGCGGGGAUAUGGCCCGCGAGUUUCUGCCAGCUGCCGUAAACAGCUGACUAUGGGGGAAAGCAUUCGGAAU